UACGAAGGGGGCUAGCGUUGCUCGGAAUUACUGGGCGUAAAGCGCACGUAGGCGGGUCGUUAAGUCGGGGGUGAAAUCCUGGAGCUCAACUCCAGAACUGCCCUCGAAACUGGCGAUCUUGAGUUCGGGAGAGGUGAGUGGAACUGCGAGUGUAGAGGUGAAAUUCGUAGAUAUUCGCAAGAACACCAGUGGCGAAGGCGGCUCACUGGCCCGAUACUGACGCUGAGGAGCGGAAGCGUGGGGAGCCGAACAGG
rnacentral:rRNA from 1 species